GAUGAACGCUGGCGGCGUGCCUAAUACAUGCAAGUCGAACGGCAGCACGGGGCAACCUGGUGGCGAGUGGCGAACGGGUGAGUAAUGCAUCGGAACGUACCUUUCAGUGGGGGAUAACGUAGCGAAAGUUACGCUAAUACCGCAUAUUCUGUGAGCAGGAAAGCAGGGGAUCGCAAGACCUUGCGCUGAUUGAGCGGCCGAUGUCAGAUUAGCUAGUUGGUGAGGUAAAGGCGCACCAAGGCGACGAUCUGUAGCGGGUCUGAGAGGAUGAUCCGCCACACUGAGACUGGCACACGGUCCAGACGCCUACGGGAGGCAGCAGUGGGGAAUUUUGGACAAUGGGGGCAACCCUGAUCCAGCCAUGCCGCGUGAGUGAAGAAGGCCUUCGGGUUGUAAAGCUCUUUCGGCCGGGAAGAAAUCGCACGGGCUAAUACCCUGUGUGGAUGACGGUACCGGAAUAAGAAGCACCGGCUAACUACGUGCCAGCAGCCGCAGUAACAC
rnacentral:rRNA from 1 species